GCCUCAUUAAAAACAUUAUUGGUGACAUAGUGCGGGAGUGUGCGGUGAGAGGACAUGCGGUGUCUGAAACUCUGGUGGCUUUCAUGGUGAAAGCUGUGGUGCUGGACCCUAGAAAUGGCUUUAAUGUGGACCGGAUACUGACCAAACAAGAUGUGCAGAAACUCGAAGAGCUGUGUCUGGAUAAACUGAUGGAGAAGUGCAGCCCGUCCCUCGACACAAUCAAGACGCAGGUGUAUUUUGAUUUGAAUUACACCUCCAGACGUAAGUGUCUCUGUUUGAAAUGAAAACCAAUA